GCCUGAGGGGCUGCGGAGCGUUUCCCGCCCUGCUGGGGGGUGGAGUGGGGACGGGGAGCCCUGGGUUGUGGAACUUGCCUGCUCCUCGGUGACUUUGUUCGCUCCUCUGCGAUAAAAAGCAGAUAACUCGGUGGUUUUUUUCGCAGUAUCGACAUGUGCAGCAGGACAUAAUGAAGCUUUAUGUGGAUGUUGCAGCAGUGCGUGGAGGAAGUUCCUUUUAACGGAUGAUGCAGGUACAAGGUAGACAACGUAUCUUGAAUUGCUAAAAAAACGCUGUUUGCGUCAGAGUAAUGUCAAAGUGCUUACAGUGCAGGUAGUGAUAUAUAGAACCUACUGCAGUGAAGGCACUUGUAGCAUUAUGUUGACAACUGCCUCAGGAGAUCUCGCAGGACUUCAGAGAACGGAAAGCAUCUUCUGGUAGAGCCCUGAUUUUGGACUAACAGAUACCUGGUGUUUCUAAAAGUGUUGGACUGGAUUUUUGUGCAGGUGAGUAUGCUGUAAGAACUGGUUAGGUGUUGGAAAUCCCAAAUACUUUUACAGACAUAAUUGCAAGAAUGAACGUAGAGUAUUUUAUAGUGGAUUACGCUUAAGAAACAUACGAGAGGUUCUUGGAGUAUUUUCAACAGUCAGCCUAUAAGCUUGGCACACUUAAGACCUUGGGGAAAACAGACUAGAGGUGCUAAAAAAAAAAAUUGGCUCUUCAUUCUUUCCCAGUCUCUGUGCUUUAAUAGCUGGGUGCCCAGGGCCAUUCAGAGAAGUAGUUCUUUUCUGUUCUCCCGAUUCACGAGUCUCCAUUUGCAGAAACUCACUGAUCCCAGGUUAAAAUCCAAAUGGUUGAGUUAUUAAUACAUCCUAGCAGGUAGCAUUUGAGAGGUUGCUUUAGCAGGGUAGUGAAAGCAGGUUUUGCUCAGAGAGACUGCACUAGCAAUCUGUAGUAAUACGGGUUAUCCACAGAGAUCAGUGCAAACAAAAGUGAGCAUGUUCUUUGUCUGACCAGGUCUGAGUCAGCUUCUGUUUGAAGCUGUAUUCUGAAUUAGGAAGAUUCUUUAUUUCCUAGCAACUUGCAUCUAAGGAUUGUAAUAAUCACUUUGACAACAGAUGUUCACUUGUUGGUAUCUACUAUUCAAAGUUAUUUUUGUCCCUUUUUAAAGUUUGUUUAUUAAAUUGAACCAAUAAUGGAACACUCAGUCAGUAGAAAGAUGUAGUUAUACAUGAAUUUAAAUAUAUACUGCACUUGGAAUUUGGAGGGGAAAACCACAUUUACUUAUACCAUAUUUUUAUGUGACUAUUGUGUUUCUCAACAGGAGGUUAAGGUGGAUGGAGGUUAAAACUAAAGAGUAGAGUAG